rnacentral:rRNA from 1 species
UAAAACCAGCACCUCAAGUGGUCAGGAUGAUUAUUGGGCCUAAAGCAUCCGUAGCCGGCUUUGUUAGUUUUCGGUUAAAUCCAUGUGCUCAACGCAUGGGCUGCCGAAAAUACUGCAUGGCUAGGGAGUGGGAGAGGUAGACGGUACUCAGUAGGAAGGGGUAAAAUCCUUUGAUCUAUUGAUGACCACCUGUGGCGAAGGCGGUCUACCAGAACACGUUCGACGGUGAGGGAUGAAAGCUGGGGGAGCAAACCGGAUUAGAUACCCGGGUAGUCCCAGCUGUAAACGAUGCAGACUCGAUGAUGCAUUGGCAUAAUAGCCAGUGCAGUGUCGCAGGGAAGCCGUUAAGUCUGCCGCCUGGGAAGUACGUACGCAAGUAUG